rnacentral:rRNA from 1 species
AACGAACGCUGGCGGCAGGCUUAACACAUGCAAGUCGAACGCCCCGCAAGGGGAGUGGCAGACGGGUGAGUAACGCGUGGGAACGUGCCCUUCGCUUCAGGAUAGUCCCGGGAAACUGGGUUUAAUACUGGAUACGCCGUAUUGGGAAAGAUUUAUCGGCGAAGGAUCGGCCCGCGUUAGAUUAGGUAGUUGGCGGUGUAAUGGACCACCAAGCCUACGAUCUAUAGCUGGUCUGAGAGGAUGAUCAGCCACACUGGGGCUGAGACACGGCCCAGACUCCUACGGGAGGCAGCAGUGGGGAAUCUUGGACAAUGGGCGCAAGCCUGAUCCAGCCAUGCCGCGUGAGUGAAGAAGGCCUUAGGGUUGUAAAACUCUUUCGCCGGAGAAGAUAAUGACGGUAUCCGGAGAAGAAGCCCCGGCUAACUUCGUGCCAGCCGCCGCGGUAAUAC